rnacentral:rRNA from 1 species
CCUACGGGCGGCAGCAGUGAGGAAUAUUGGUCAAUGGACGAGAGUCUGAACCAGCCAAGUAGCGUGAAGGAUGACUGCCCUAUGGGUUGUAAACUUCUUUUAUAUGGGAAUAAACUGUUCCACGUGUGGGCUUUUGUAUGUACCCUAUGAAUAAGGAUCGGCUAACUCCGUGCCAGCAGCCGCGGUAAUACGGGGGAUCCGAGCGUUAUCCGGAGUUAUUGGGUUUAAAGGGAGCGUAGGUGGAUUGUUAAGUCAGUUGUGAAAGUUUGCGGCUCAACCGUAAAAUUGCAGUUGAAACUGGCAGUCUUGAGUACAGUAGAGGUGGGCGGAAUUCGUGGUGUAGCGGUGAAAUGCUUAGAUAUCACGAAGAACUCCGAUUGCGAAGGCAGCUCACUGGACUGCAACUGACACUGAGGCUCGAAAGUGUGGGUAUCAAACAGGAUUAGAUACCCCAGUAGUC